UCAAAUCCGGGUCUUUGGCAUGACAAGAGAACGCUUUAACCACUAGGCUACCCCACCGGCCCUCACACAUUGUGCCCAUGUGGUAGAUCUAGUCUGAUCCUAGUUGUUACAGAAUGAAAUAAAUUAAAAGUCAUAAAUAGAUUCAAGGCUGCUGUCAAUCCUUCAGUCUUGCAGUACUUUCCUAUCAUGUGCUCACACAUUGGUCAACAUCACAAAUUGAUCCAACAAACUGUUUCAUACAUAAAACAUCUACCUCUUCGAGUCAGAUGCAUAAAAACCCCUUGAAGUAAACCUUAUAUAUCGAACCCUCCCUGAGUGUGUGACGUCACAUGCUGUUUACAUAUUGGAGACUCCCUCACUAAUACACUCGAGUGUGUGAUGUGACAUGCUGUUUACAUAUCAGAGACUCCCUCACUCAUACACUUGUGUGUUGUGUGAUGUGACCUGCUGUUUACAUAUCGGACUGUCCCUCACUCAUACACUUGAGUGUUGUGUGAUGUGACCUGCUGUUUACAUAUCGGACACUCCCUCACUCGUACACCCGAGUGUGUGACGUGA